rnacentral:rRNA from 1 species
AGUGAACGCUGGCGGCGUGCUUAACACAUGCAAGUCGAACGAGAACGGGUUAUAGCUUGCUAUAAUUGUCAGCUAAGUGGCGCACGGGUGAGUAAUGUAUAGGUAAUAUGCCUCUUACUAAGGGAUAACAAAUGGAAACGUUUGCUAAUACCUUAUACUCCUUAUUAACAGAAGUUAAUAAGGGAAAGAUUUAUUGGUAAGAGAUUAGCCUGUAUUGUAUCAGUUAGUUGGUGGGGUAAUGGCUUACCAAGACUAUGACACAUAACUGGUUUGAGAGGAUGAUCAGUCAAACUGGAGCUGAGACACGGUCCAGACUCCUACGGGAGGCAGCAGUGGGGAAUAUUGCACAAUGGACGGAAGUCUGAUGCAGCAACGCCGCGUGGAGGAUGACACAUUUCGGUGCGUAAACUCCUUUUAUAUGAGAAGAUAAUGACGGUAUUAUAUGAAUAAGCACCGGCUAACUCCGUGCCAGCAGCCGCCGUAA